CCUACGGGUGGCAGCAGUGGGGGAUAUUGCACAAUGGGGGAAACCCUGAUGCAGCGAUGCCGCGUGAAUGAAGACGGCCUUCGGGUUGUAAAGCUCUGUCGCAGGAGAAGAAAAUGACGGUACGUUGCAAGAAAGGUCUGGCUAACAACGUGCCAGCAGCCGCGGUAAAACGUAGGGAGCAAGCGUUGUCCGGAAUUAAUGGGUGAAAAGGGAGCGUGGGCGGGUGGAUAAGUUGAAUGUGAAGUCUAUGGGUUCAACCCAUAACUGCGUUCGAAACUGUUAUUCUUGAGUGAAGUAGAGGCAGGCGGAAUUCCUAGUGUAGCGGUGAAAUGCGUAGAUAUUAGGAGGAACACCAGUGGCGAAGGCGGCCUGCUGGGCUGUUACUGACGCUGAGGCUCGAAAGCGUGGGUAGCAAACAGGAUUAGAUACCCUAGUAGUC
rnacentral:rRNA from 1 species